rnacentral:lncRNA from 1 species
CUCACCAUCUCCGCAAACAUAUCACCAACCAGAAAGAACAGGUAGCCAGAGAUGGUCUCUGUCUUACUGCUGUUUUCCCAUCUUGCUUGGGUGGAUCUAAUGGGGAAGCCAUGUUUUCUUCAGAACCCUUGCAGUGAGUAAGUCUAGAAGCAUAAUGUUCAGCUGUCAGCCUCUGCAGUGCAUAACAUUUCCAGUGAGGAGGUUCAAAUGGAAGACAAGUACCAGGAGGCCACGGCCAUUUCACAGGAGCAAAUGAGAUGCAAAAUUAGAGCUAAAAGACUCCCAAAGCACAAGGAAACACAAGGUCCUCUGAAUGAGGCAUCACCAGGACACCUAAACUAUAAAACAGGAACCCACAGACAAGACAAUGCUUUAAGCAGAAAACACAAGACAAAAGUAAGAUGGCGUUGGUUUUGUUUGUACCUUGUCUCAUAGAUUUUUUAUGGUAGGUUAGUGGUCAAAUAAUAAGUUGGAACUCCAAGCCCUCAAAAUUGAGUCUUUUUAUUGGUUUCAAUUCCACUCCAACAUCAAAAUCUAUAGUCUUCUAUGUGCCUUUCUUGCAAGUGAGGCCCCUUUACCCCCUUUCUUGCCCCUAUCUCUCUCUAUUUCCAGAACUCCAAGGUCCACCUGCAGCUUGGACUUUCAGAGUCCCCAUCAGUCUCCUGUGUUUGCCCCCCAACCUUGUUUCAACCCACCUCUCUGUGGUUGCCCCUAUCUCCCUCCUGCAGAAUCUCAACUUCAGGAAGGGCACUCCCCAAAAAGGCAAAGAAUACCCCAUCACUAGGCCACACCUCCCUGCCAAACUCCGUACAACCUAAUUCCAUUUAGCCUUCCAGCCUGACAUCUUUCAGGGAUGUGCCAACGGCAACUUUUGUGACUAUUUUCCAAUGUUAC